GACGAACGCUGGCGGCGUGCUUAACACAUGCAAGUCGAGCGGUAAGGCCCUUUCGGGGGUACGACGAGCGGCGAACGGGUGAGUAACACGUGGGUGACCUGCCCUCAGCUCUGGGAUAAGCCUGGGAAACCGGGUCUAAUACCGGAUAUGACUCCAUGACGCAUGUUGUGGGGUGGAAAGCCUUGUGCGGCUGAGGAUGGGCCCGCGGCCUAUCAGCUUGUUGGUGGGGUGAUGGCCUACCAAGGCGACGACGGGUAGCCGGCCUGAGAGGGCGACCGGCCACACUGGGACUGAGACACGGCCCAGACUCCUACGGGAGGCAGCAGGUGGGGAAUCUUGCGCAAUGGGCGAAAGCCUGACGCAGCGACGCCGCGUG
rnacentral:rRNA from 1 species